AUUGAACGCUGGCGGCAGGCUUAACACAUGCAAGUCGAGCGGAGUGAUGGUGCUUGCACUAUCACUUAGCGGCGGACGGGUGAGCAAUGCUUAGGAAUCUGCCUAUUAGUGGGGGGCAACAUCUCGAAAGGGAUGCUAAUACCGCAUACGUCCUACGGGAGAAAGCAGGGGAUCACUUGUGACCUUGCGCUAAUAGAUGAGCCUAAGUCGGAUUAGCUAGUUGGUGGGGUAAAGGCCUACCAAGGCGACGAUCUGGAGCGGGUCUGAGAGGAUGAUCCGCCACACUGGGACUGAGACACGGCCCAGACUCCUACGGGAGGCAGCAGUGGGGAAUAUUGGACAAUGGGGGGAACCCUGAUCCAGCCAUGCCGCGUGUGUGAAGAAGGCCUUAUGGUUGUAAAGCACUUUAAGCGAGGAGGAGGCUUACCUAGUUAAUACCUGGGAUAAGUGGACGUUACUCGCAGAAUAAGCACCGGCUAACUCUGUGCCAGCAGCCGCGGUAA
rnacentral:rRNA from 1 species